UUCAUUCUCUCGCCCCCAUCUCUCCCAUCUGUUCUCUUUCUAGGCACCGUCGACGCCAUCGUCCACCAGGGCCGACGCUUGGCAAGCCAGCAGAUGGCGGCGAGUAGGACCUCCGUCGACGGGACAAGCCAGCAGCGCAGUGGAGAAGCCCCGCGUACAUAUCUCCAUUGCGAGCAGAUGGCGGCGCGGAGGCCUCAGAGCGCCCUUCUCUCCCACCCGAAACAUUGCCGGAGCCUACACGGCCGUCCUCGUGUAUCCCACUAUGCCAUGUCUCUUGCCCCAUUCCCAAGCCUCCUGCCCUGGUCUCCUCCCCGUCCCGAUUUCCCCAGAUGUGGAGGUUGACUAGCUGUGGGGAACACCGAGAGCCCUCGCCGACGUUUUCGAUGCUGAUGUGGAGGUUCGUGCGCGGAGUCUUCGCCGGCGGCCGUCUUCCACGGGAACGGGCCGAUGCGCCGCCAGCCCGUGACGCGGAGGGAUGGAGGCCGAGGAGUGCCACAGUCUGCGUGCCGGAGGGUUUCGCGAGGCCGGCCAUUGGCCUCCAUGGCCAUGAGCUGAUGGUUUAGCUCCAUCUUCAUGGACCUCCUCCUCCCUCGAGCGGCCCUUCACGGGCCUCCUACUCCCUCGAGCGGCCGCCCAACCCCACCUUUUUCAGUCCCAAUUCUCCCCGCCGCGAGGCUGUCGUGGACUGAGUCGGCUGCUCCCGGACGCCGGGGACAGAAUCCCCUGCCGCGGCUUCCCCGCCGUAAUUACCUCACAUGGAUGGCAGCCCUGGACGGCAGCAGUCCCGCUGCCUACUCACUUUGCUUCUCCACAUAUCUGCUUUUAUUUUCUCCUCCGAUCUCCUCGGUGUAGACUGUAGACUGUAGAUCAGGCCCUGAUUCAUGCCCUCCGUUCAUCUUCUUUGUCUUGCAUCUUCAUCAAUAUUUUCUUCGCGUGGCCAUCUUGAGGGUUGGCGUCCUCCGCUAUCGAGCCGGACAGCCCUGGAGACGGAGUAUUGUAGGACGGUUAGGCCUCUUGUCGUUGGACGACAAAGGUGGUGCAGAUCCCCUGCUCCGGGGUGGGCUGCUUUUUUCCGCGCCACCUUCGCGCUUACUUGAGGCUUUAUGGCUUAUGGACUUCAGGAUGAUAAACACAUGAAAAUCUCAGACAUGAUUCUGCACUGCAGGCUGCAUAUUGUGUCGGUGGGCAUUCAGGAAACUGGCAAGUUAUUCAGAACUCAAUUCUUGGAUGUUACUUGCGUCGUCCUACUCUGAAUCGGCAUCAUCGAGCUCCAUACAUCCACAUGCUCUAAGUCAGCCAGAGCCCAUUGCCCAGUUUAGUCUUUCCCCUGGAUCAUUUUCAGAUCCACCUUUAAGUUAUACAACCAAUCGUAACGUUUCAACUGCAAAAUGACCACAUUAUCUCACUGUAAGAAAUAUCUGCAUUUUUAAAUAUGAAGUGAUCACAUUAUUAUUAAUCUAUAAAGCCUCUCCAGGUAAAGUUAUACACACCUAAGGGACCAUAUCAUCAACUAGAUCAAGACAAGACUGAAUUCGUUGGAGCUAACGGUAUGGAGCAUGCUUGAAGCCCAGUGAGAAGAAAUGAGAAAAUUUCUCAGGAGGGAGAACAUGCUUGAAUGUUGCCGUGUAAGUCUUCUUUCAGAUACAAUGUACACAUGGAUUUGGGUGAGUACACAGUGCGUCUUUCUUUCUCAAAUUGUGCUUGCUUGAACGUUGUUUGCUGGUUUCGGCAGCUUUUGUCCAUGGCUUCCAUGCGUGUGUGCACAUGAAUUGGGGUGAGUACACACUACACCUUUCUUUCCCAAAUUGUGGUAGCUUGGACAUUGUUUGCUGGCUUCGGCUGCUAUCGCCCAUGGCUUCCAUGCGUGCAACCGUACCAGUCGCUCUGUCCGGUGGUGUAAUCGGAGACAGUGCGCACAACAAGUCAACAACUAGCUAAACUGAUAUGCUAAUUAAAGUAAUAUGGUUCUGCUAACUUUUCUAUGUGCUAAUGUAAUUAAUCUUCCAAAGGGAAGUAUGAAAGAAACAAAAGAAUAAACUAUAAAGAGGAAAGGCAUAUGAUCCAGAUCCUUCUAAGGCGUGAACAUGACAGUUGCUGGUUCUACCGCCACAUUGCCUAGCUAGCCAUGAACAACUACUAAUUCCAAUUAUUGUUCAUGCCCGAAGUUGAAGUUCAAGAUGCACCUCUAUUUAUGUCCGACCAAUUCCAGGGUGAGGGAUUUUCCUACCAGUUCAAUAUGUCCAAAGUGAAGAAAGAAAAGAGAAGUGAGAAAUGCGCAAACGUACACUUUCAAUUGCCAUGGUCUGCUGAAUUGAUUAAUUUGUUGAAAGGUAAGGUUCUUCAGAUGAAUUGUUCCCAAAUGUAAUUGCAUUAUGUAUUCUUCUCACAAUAUUUUAGGUUCAACUUGCAAAAUAUUAUUCAGCAUGAUUGUAAGAAAUUUAUAUGUUGGAAAGAUGCUCAUGAAAAGAUAUUCGAAUUAACUGUUGGGAAAUUUCAAUUGCAGGUUUAUAAAAAAUAGAGAUUAAUCAUAACAAAUACUUUUUAAUCCAAGAGUACCUAGGAAGUGUAAUUAUGCCAUGUGAUAUAUCACAAUUUUUUUAAUAUUUUUUUUAGCCAGAAUAUUAGCGAAUCAGAAUUGCCUGUAGUGGAGUAGUAUGAAUUAACAAUAUAGUAGCGACCAGGUUUCCCGACAUGUUCACUGAAUUGCAUGUUUUGUAAUUUCAGGUCAACCAAUGCAAAUUAUUGUUAUGGACCUUCUUGCUAUCGUUUUAGUGGCUCUUAAUAUUGGUGAUGUAAGACGACCUCCUUGCACACUUCAAAGUUCAUUUUUGCUUAUGCCAAGUCGGUCAGACUAACUAAAGGGUGAUUUUUCUUUGUUCUACUGUGGUAAUACAUCCGAGCGGAAUGUAUAACUCUGAACUUUUACAGCCAAGUGAUUUCUUUUUUUCACCUUCAAAAUGGCAGUGUAGUUCUAGAUGUAGUAAAAAAAUAUUGUUGGAACACUUUUGCUCAAUUCACCUCUUACAGAUUGAUGCCAUUUUGAAAGAUUGUUCAAUGGCAAUUGCCCAAACCAUUUGUAUGUAGAAAAUGCAACUCUCUGUUCUUCCUUUAUUGUAACUAGCUAGCUAGAUCAAUUUAUUAUAUCUCUGUUC